rnacentral:rRNA from 1 species
AACGAACGCUGGCGGCAUGCCUAACACAUGCAAGUCGAACGAGACCCUUCGGGUCUAGUGGCGCACGGGUGCGUAACGCGUGGGAAUCUGCCCUUGGGUUCGGAAUAACUCGCCGAAAGGCGUGCGUAAUACCGGAUGAUGUCGUAAGACCAAAGGAUUUAUCGCCCAGGGAUGAGCCCGCGUAAGAUUAGGUAGUUGGUAGAAGGUAAAGGCUCACCAAGUCCGUACGAUCUUUUAGCUGGUCUGAGAGGAUGAUCAGCCCACACUGGGACUGAGACACGGCCCAGG